rnacentral:rRNA from 1 species
AGAGUUUGAUCCUGGCUCAGAAUUAACGCUGGCAGAGUGCAUAACACAUGCAAGUCGAGCGAAACUAUCUGAGAUUACAUCAACUGGUAGUUUAGCGGCAGACGAGUGAGUAACACGUAGACAACCUGCCCUUCAAUGGCGGAUAACCAAUCGAAAGGUUGGCUAAUACGCCGUACUUUCCUUGAGAGGCAUCUCUCGAGGAAGAUAGGCCCGCAAGGGUCGUUGAAGGAGGGGUCUGCGUCCCAUCAGCUAGUUGGCGGUGUAAUAGACCACCAAGGCUACGACGGGUACCCGGCCUGAAAGGGCGGACGGGCACGAUGGCACUGAGACACGGGCCAUACUCCUACGGGAGGCAGCAGUGGGGAAUUUUGGACAAUGGGGGAAACCCUGAUCCAGCAACUCUGCGUGAGGGACGAAGGUCUUCGGAUUGUAAACCUCUUUUGCACGGGAAGAACACCCGCAAGGGUCUGACGGUACCGUGCGAAUAAGCCACGGCUAACUAUGUGCCAGCAGCCGCGGUAAUA